UACGGAGGAUGCGGGCGUUAUCCGGAUUUAUUGGGUUUAAAGGGUGCGUAGGCGGAUCGUUAAGUCAGUGGUCAAAUUGAGGGGCUCAACCCCUUCCCGCCAUUGAAACUGGCGCUCUUGAGUGGAAGAGAAGUAUGCGGAAUGCGUGGUGUAGCGGUGAAAUGCGUAGAUAUUAGGAAGAACACCAGUGGCGAAGGCGGCUUUCUGGACUGAAACUGACGCUGAGGCACGAAAGCGUGGGGAGCGAACAGG
rnacentral:rRNA from 1 species